rnacentral:rRNA from 1 species
GCCCUUCCUACGGGAGGCAGCAGUGGGGAAUUUUGGACAAUGGGGGCAACCCUGAUCCAGCAAUGCCGCGUGCAGGAAGAAGGCCUUCGGGUUGUAAACUGCUUUUGUACGGAACGAAACGGCUCUGGUUAAUACCCGGGGCUAAUGACGGUACCGUAAGAAUAAGCACCGGCUAACUACGUGCCAGCAGCCGCGGUAA